AGGCACCUGACCGGUAUGAGGGGAAACGUUCGGAACGGACGCUAAUACCGCAUACGUCCUACGGGAGAAAGCAGGGGACCUUCGGGCCUUGCGCUAUCAGAUGAGCCUAGGUCGGAUUAGCUAGUUGGUGAGGUAAUGGCUCACCAAGGCUACGAUCCGUAACUGGUCUGAGAGGAUGAUCAGUCACACUGGAACUGAGACACGGUCCAGACUCCUACGGGAGGCAGCAGUGGGGAAUAUUGGACAAUGGGCGAAAGCCUGAUCCAGCCAUGCCGCGUGUGUGAAGAAGGUCUUCGGAUUGUAAAGCACUUUAAGUUGGGAGGAAGGGCAUUAACCUAAUACGUUAGUGUUUUGACGUUACCGACAGAAUAAGCACCGGCUAACUCUGUGCCAGCAGCCGCGGUAAUACAGAGGGUGCAAGCGUUAAUCGGAAUUACUGGGCGUAAAGCGCGCGUAGGUGGUUUGUUAAGUUGAAUGUGAAAUCCCCGGGCUCAACCUGGGAACUGCAUCCAAAACUGGCAAGCUAGAGUAUGGUAGAGGGUAGUGGAAUUUCCUGUGUAGCGGUGAAAUGCGUAGAUAUAGGAAGGAACACCAGUGGCGAAGGCGACUACCUGGACUGAUACUGACACUGAGGUGCGAAAGCGUGGGUAGCAAACAGGAUUAGAUACCCUGGUAGUCCACGCCGUAAACGAUGUCAACUAGCCGUUGGGUCCCUUGAGGACUUAGUGGCGCAGCUAACGCAAUAAGUUGACCGCCUGGGGAGUACGGCCGCAAGGUUAAACUCAAUGAAUUGACGGGGGCCGCACAAGCGGUGGAGCAUGGUGUUUUAUUCGAUGCAACGCGAAGAACCUUACCUACCCUUGACAUCCAGAGGACUUUCCAGAGAUGGAUUGGUGCCUUCGGGACUCUUGAGACAGAUGCCUGCAUGACUGUCCGUCAGCUCUCGUGGUGUGAAAUGUUUGGGUUAGUCCCGGUAACGAAGCGCACCCCUUAUCCUAUUUUGCCAGCGAGUAUGUCCGGACUCUCUAGGAACUGGCGUGACAACGAGAGUUGGGUACACGCUCAGUCACCUUGGCUUACGGUAGGUCUAACACUAUGCCU
rnacentral:rRNA from 1 species